CAGGACAGGACAAGCCAAAUACAGUUGAGACAGCUCUAGCUAAGCCAGAAAAUAGUUCUGAGCUUCAUUUCAGGUUUAUGUUCAAGUGGAUAAGGAGGCAAGCAUGGUAAAGGACCCAUGAAAUGAGCUAGUGAAGUUAGUCACCUUCUCACCUGUCCUUCCAUCCUGAGACAAGGUGACUUUCAGCUCUGUGGUGAAACUACUCCUUGAAGAGUUGCAAAGAGUCAGUAGGGCUCUCACCUGGAAAUGCUCAACCUCUGCAACGAGAUGGUGGAAGUGUGGAGGGAUGCAUACACAGUGUGGCGCAUUUGCUGCUUUCACUUUGUGCUCCUUGUCCCAGAAAUCAGUACGAGUUUUAGCUUUAAAUACAUGAGCUGCUUGCUUUGAAACUUGUUAGAUAUUUGCAUUUUCAUCUUCUUUUGUUAAUCAGUGGGAAAAAGGAAAGAGCUAGAGCUGUUUUUUCAGUUGCAGAUUACCGGGGUGUGCUUUGCAGACUGCCUUCUGAGGAAUGAGCUGUACGACUAUGUUGCUGCUGUAAGUUUAGGUAUUUUUAGAUCAGAGAAAUGUGUGGUGCUAGGCAGUGUUCCACAGUCAUCAAAACAACAGCUAUUACAAAAAGUCUUAAGCAAGCAAGAUGCAAACUUGAAACCCCAGUUGGAAGCAUCUAUCAAUAGACCACACCAAGCCCAGCCUAAGCCUGGAGCAAAAACAAAUUAGAACACUCAUCUUUCUUGAAAUCCUAUGAACGUAUUCUUAAAGUUUCCCAUGAGGUUUUGGAAAGCCAUUUUGUUAUGAAUAAUUUGAAAAAGUUUAGAUUUUCAAUGCUGUUUUUAGCCUAUCAGACAAGUACAAGCCUAUGACUAGCUACCACCCAAAGUCAGAUCAUCUAUAACUGGCCCACUAGGUUCUCGUUAUGGUGUUUCUUGAAGUAAAAUGUAAGUUUAGAUGCUUCUUUGCUUGUCUGCUAUUGCAUCCAGGGUGCUACAGAGACUUAAACUGCAAAAAUCACCACUUCAACAAGCAGUGUCUGCAGGCUGGGGAUACAUAAUAGCUUGCAAAACUCGUUUUCUGCAAGAAGCCCGGCUGUGGAUGAGUUAUUAAUCUCAUGCAUGUCUAUCCCUCCAUGUCAGAACACCCAGUGCUGUGCAUUAGCUGCAGACACAAGAUUCCUGACGCGUUUCCUACCAGCUUCUGGUAACUGAAGUAAGAGCCCACCUUGUUCUCCCUGAGUGGGUCGCUGUGUCCCCAGAUAAGGUGGGCUGUGUAAAUACAAAGACAGGGAAGCAGCAUUUGAACUGGCUAGUCUUACUAGAUGCUGGAGAAAGGAAGGACCUCCAAAGAGAUGUUUUGUUGCCUAGGGAUUUCAUGGUUUGCAGUGUAUACAUUUUUAAAUAGUCAUAGCAUGUUUCAGAGAAUGUCAUUUUAGAUGGGAUAAUAAUCCUAAUGGGAUUAUUUACUACUUUGAAUAGUAUUUAGGCUUUAAAUUGCAGUAAUUUGGUUUCAGUUCAUGUAAUCUUCUUGAUAAGCGAUGUUUAUUGUGUUUAUGUGUUCCUUAGUCAAUGGAAGUAGCAGUAAAUUCCCCAGCUGAGAAAGGGAAAUACUGUUUUAGGCUCUAACAUUUGUUAGAGCGGAAAAGCAUUUCCUAUCCAAUUACACGGACAUUUUGAAGGGAGUUUUUCUUCAGAUAUUCUCAUUGACAAGGAGGAACGAAGUCAAGCAAAGCUUGCUUGACUACAAACAGCAAAGCUAUUGUGGGUUCCUGUGUCAGGUCCCUUAGGGCAGGAGUCCAAGUGAAGUUUGUGACUUGAUAAAUGUGAUACAUUUCAGGUUGUAAGAGCCUGGCAGUAAUGACAGUGUGGAGAGGAAAUGAAUUUAGCCAGAAAAGAGAUUACAGAUAUGCAAGAAAGAAUACAAUGGAAAAAGCACUUCCUUUUCAAGCAGUCUGUGCAGUCAGUACCUGUCAGCAUUUGAACCUCCUGGUCAGCCAUAAAACAGUCUGUUCCAUAAACUCUGCUCACAUGCAGCUGGAGCAUCUUUCUCUUCUAAAAUGGUGUAAAACCUUGGAGCAUUUGCCAUGAUUUUAAGUGAAUCACUUGGCAUGCAUAAGGGCCUAAAUCAGAAUGAUACACAGUGAGGAAAUAUAUAAAACUGGGAAGCAAAGGGGCUGUGUAAUUACUGUAUGGGAGGUGUGUUUGUCUGCCUGGGUAGUUGCUCCUAUGUGGCAAUGUAGCAAGGUAAUCCUUCCUCUUUGCCUUUCAUUAAUUACUAAUGAACUGAAGAAAUUCACCACAAGCUCAUAACAUCAGAACUAAGGAACCAGUGCUGUGCAAAGGAAAAGUGCUGGCAGUAGAGAACCUGUUGCCAAAGAACAGAAAUGUUUAGCACAAUUAGGUAGUAUUUCUCUUCAGGAAUCAGUAAUGUUUGUGUCAUUCAGGCUAUAGAAUUUGUACAAGCUAGGGAAAAAAGCUCCUACUUCACUUAAUUAUAAAAGGGCAAUUCUUAUAUGAACUGUAUUGAGAUAGGAGUUAAAUUAUCCCAUGCUCCUUGAAAUCUACAAAUACACGUCAUCACUUAUUUCAGAUGAUAGGUAUUUUAAAGCUAAUUUAUUACAUCUGAAAAUGAUUUAUCAGUUAUAUAUGAUAAAGGAUGAAGUUUGUCUACUGAUUUUCUACAGUUAGAAGAAAUUUGUGAAUGGUAUUCCCAGUGUGAUUACAAAAAAAAAAGAAGCACAAAAUACAUCCAAAGGUGUAACAAAUAAUGUCUGUUCAAAAAGGUGAAUAACCUUGUUUUCAUUCAAGGUUUACCAUGACUCUUUUUGAAAAAAAUAGUCUAUUAACUUUUCCAUGUGUCAUGCGGAGCCUUGCUUAGAGAACCGGCAUUCUGAAGAUGUGUCAUGAUCUGUUACUCCAGUUGUCGUCAUCAGUUCAAAGACACUUUCCAUUUUACUAGUGAGGAAGGUGUCUGAGCACGCUUCUGUUGAUUUAUAUUUCAUGCUACAUUCACCAUUACAAGCUGUCAGGGAGAUGCAAGAGGUAUCUUUGUUCAGUCUAUAACAGACUGAAAAGAAGUCCUCAGGAAGGAAAAUCUGAGUAUGUUAAUACUGACUCUUCUACCACUAUUGCUUGAGCCAAACUGUGACACUAUAUGUAUGAAAACACUGCCUUUGUCUCAAGUGAAUCUUCCAAAAAUUCAUUGGUAGCUGAAUAAAGCAGACACCUCCUAACUAUUGAAAAACUGAGGUAGGAAGUUUACACGUAACAGGAAAAGGCAAAUUCACUGGGCUGUGUCCACAAAUGUAUGGCUGGGUCUGCAGGUGUUUCUUCAAUGCUUAUUGACCCUUUGCAGUAUCCUGUGAACGUGACUUCCAAAUCUGUGCUUCCUCUUGCUGGUGGGUUGUGUGACCUCAGAGCAUACCUCUGUGUACUCCUGGUUCUGUGGUUAGUCUGUGCAGCGGUUGGCGAGCUUCUCUCUGCACUUACCGCAUGCACGUGAGGUUUGGUUCAGUCUGUCACUAAUACUCGGUUCACGCAGGAGCAAAGGUAGGCUGGAUUUCAAAUGGUAGAAGGCCUGUGUUUCCAUAGUGCUUUUGCAAUGUAUUGCUAACAAAAACUUCCACUUAAGACAGGCAAUGCAAAGGGUUUUCAAUUUUUUUUCUACAUCCUGUUUGUAAGCAAGCAUUAAGUAUGCAUUUAGGGGCACACUGCAGCUAGAAAGGAAAAGCUUAACACCAGUGAUGUGAAUCCCAGAGGAACCCUCUGAGAAUAGCCAUGCGUAUUGAAUACGUUAAAUGACAACCAGCUCUUACGUACCUGCAUGAAUGUGGUAUUGCAUUUCUGACAGUAGUCUGUUUUUCUCUUUUUAGGAUUUACUGUGUGAGGCCAUUGUCUUGCAAAGUUUUCUGGAGUAGAAGUCUUCUAGAGGGAAGCUCUGAGAAAUGUCAGUCAUUCCUGAAUGAUUACUGGCUCAGAUUUCCAUCCUAAGCUUUCAUCCAUCACGCAGUACAGAGCAAUCUGUCAGCCUGUUCACAGGAGACAAAAAGGUCUCUUGGAAUUCAGGAAGAGUGAAGAGAUGAAAUCCUCAUAUUUGGGUUGGAUUUAAAAACGGGAGACAAGGUAAUUCAACCUGUGCACGCCAGCCCUCCACCACAAGCUGCAGUAAUGGAGUUGGCUCCAGUGAAAUGUGAGCAACAUGCUUAUUCCUUUAACGCCCUCUCUAAUAAUAUCAAACAGGGAAAAAAAAAGGGGGAAUGUGUUAAAGAGUCAGCCAUUUUUACUGAACUGAGCUUGGAUUUCACUGGAGAGGGAGUACUGCAUCGUGGAUGAGAACUAGAAAUUUCUGGAAGUGACCAUAAGAUGCAGAGGAUAUCUGGGAGAAACCUCUUUUAUCAUAUCUACAGCAUAUAUUCUUCAGCUGGCAUACAGAGUAGAGGAAGAUGUAGGUGGACUGCUAAUUCCUCUUAGAAGACCUGGUGAUGUCAUUCAAAAAUUGCUGGUCAUCUGUUCUGCACUCCGAGGU